UGGGAACCGGCGUAAGGGGCAGUAAGGCAUGGGUACCUACCCUGAAGUUCGGGAUAGCCAUCAGAGAUGGUGGGUAAUACCGGAUGAUGUCGAGAGACCAAAGAUUUAUCGCUUUGGGAGGGGCCCAUGUGAUAUUAGCUAGUUGGUGAGGUAACGGCUCACCAAGGCGAAGAUGUCUAGCGGGUGUGAGAGCACGACCCGCGCCACUCGCACUGAGACACUGGCGAGACAC
rnacentral:rRNA from 1 species